rnacentral:rRNA from 1 species
AGCGAACGCUGGCGGCAGGCCUAACACAUGCAAGUCGAACGAACCUUUCGGGGUUAGUGGCGGACGGGUGAGUAACACGUGGGAACGUGCCUUUAGGUUCGGAAUAACUCAGGGAAACUUGUGCUAAUACCGAAUGUGCCCUUCGGGGGAAAGAUUUAUCGCCUUUAGAGCGGCCCGCGUCUGAUUAGCUAGUUGGUUGAGGUAAUGGCUCACCAAGGCGACGAUCAGUAGCUGGUCUGAGAGGAUGAUCAGCCACAUUGGGACUGAGACACGGCCCAAACGCUUGAGGGGGGCAGCAGUGGGGAAUCUGGCGGAAUGGGAGAAAGCGCGACGCAGCGAUGCCGUGUGAAGGAUGAAGGUCUUAGUGUUAUAAUAUUCUUUCACGGGGUAAGAUAAUGAGGGCACCCGGAGAAGAAGCCCCGGCUAACUUCGUGCCAGCAGCCGCGGUAAUACGCGGAGGAGCACACGUCUGACC